rnacentral:rRNA from 1 species
AAGAUGGCGACCGGCGCACGGGUGAGUAACACGUAUCCAACCUGCCGAUAACUCGGGGAUAGCCUUUCGAAAGAAAGAUUAAUAUCCGAUGGUAUAUUAAGAUCGCAUGAUUUUACUGUUAAAGAAUUUCGGUUAUCGAUGGGGAUGCGUUCCAUUAGUUUGUUGGCGGGGUAACGGCCCACCAAGACUACGAUGGAUAGGGGUUCUGAGAGGAAGGUCCCCCACAUUGGAACUGAGACACGGUCCAA